GUUUCAGCAGCCGCGGUAAUACGAGGGGGGCAAGUGUUGUUCGGAAUCACUGGGCGUAAAGGGAGCGUAGGCGGAUGCUUAAGUUGGAUGUUUAAAACCGGGGCCCAACCUCGGAGCGGCAUCCAAAACUGGGCGUCUUGAAUGGAACAGAGGCUAGUGGAAUUGGGGGUGUAGCGGUGGAAUGCGUAGAGAUCCCCAAGAACACCAAUUGCGAAGGCAGCUAGCUGGGUUCACAUUGACGCUGAGGCUCGAAAGCAUGGGGAGCAAACAGGAUUAGAUACCCUCGUAGUCC
rnacentral:rRNA from 1 species